rnacentral:lncRNA from 1 species
UCCCUUUGGUCAGUCAAGGAAUCGAAGACCCAUUUUCUUCUUCUUUCGAUUGAGUAAACACCACCGAGAUCCGCUGCAGCCCCCGUCUAACCCUUCACCCUCGCAUAUCACUUCCGAGGCAGAAGAAACAAUGGAUUAGGAACUGCGCGAGCAGCCUUUCUGCAUCGCUCAUCUCCUUCCUCAAACCAAUCAAUCAUUGAAGAGGGUUGCUUGUUUGCUAUCGAUUUCGUGCCUCUUUUUCUUUCGAUCAGCCAUCGCCAAAUCCCCACCAAAAACGAAAUCCACAUUCUUCAUCUUCUCUAUCUCUCGUUCAUCUGAAAGGUAUCGACUUCAACGAUUCUUCCUUAGAUGAUCUAAUCCGGUGGUUGAUGUUUAUGUAGGGAUUCAGAAAAGUGGAUCCGGAUCGAUAGGAGUUUGCGAAUGAGUGGUUUGUGAUCGAUGUUUAUGAUAAGAGGGGGUUAUCCAGCUUCUUCCAAAAACCCUUGGAUUGAGGAUGAUUAGAUGGGAAACGAUGAGAAAGAUUAGGUGUCUGAAAUCCUAAAAGUGGAGAAGAUACCUUAGAGCAGAAGCAUGUGAUCGAUGGUCGAUGAUGAUGAAGGGAGUAUCCAUCUUCUUCCAUGUUCUUUACCCUGGUUACCAAAGUGAUUAAUUUCUCGAUGCAGUUACCCAAAAUCAAACCUCCAUUCUCCCAUUCCCGGUGAUUUGUGUGCCAAUGUUCUAUGCGAUUUUACCUCCAUAAAUAUAUUAUAUGAGAGAGAGGGGAAGGAGACGAGGAUGUUGGUAAGAACUGGUGUUUUUUUACCUAUAGAAAUCCGGUGGGUUUGGAUGCCGACGAUAUGGAUGAUCGGUGGUGAAGACGAUUCCUCCAAGUCCAGAGAAGUGAAAAAAGAGGAGGAAGGUAGCAAAACCAUGUAUCGGUAAUUGUUUGGCUUGCUUGUCAUCGAGAAAGAAGAAAGAAACAUGGCUGGAACAGAGGGUAACAGCCUCCGUUUUCUGCUUGAGUUUUUGAGAGAGAGAGAGAGAGAGAAAGGUGGGUCCUUUAUUAUUUUUUUAAUUGUUAAAAUGAAUAAAUAAAUAUUAAAAUUUAAGAAUAGUGAAAGAAAAAUGAAAAAUAAAUACCCCAAGGGUAUUAUAGUCAUUUCAAUUUUUGGAGGGACCAUUUUCACAUACAAACCACUCCAAAAGGACUACGAAACCAAAAAAGUCACUGUUUGGACUAAAACCCCAAAAUUUUGCAUACCACAGGGACCAUUUUUGCAAUUUUAUCUAGAAUUUAUACUGACAUAUACAUAAAACAAAGCAAGUAACAAAAAUUCUAAAUUUACAUUGAAAUAUUAACCACCUUCAAUUUAUACCGAUACAUACAUAAAAAAUCACAUAAAAUGUUUUUUUAAUAAAUAAACGAAUGAAAGUUAUUAAAAUAAAAUAAAAUAUAUAUACUAGAAGGGUAAACAUAAAAGUUUAGAAAAUAAAGAGUUAUAUUACAAAGUUAAACAUCGAGGAAAUUAGUGUGUUACAUUUGUAUUAAAGGGUCCUUUCUUCUAAAUUGAAGGUUCAAGUUUUGUUGUGGCAAAAUAAUUUAAUAGAAGAUUAGAUUUGCCUUUAAAAAAUUUAAAAAAAUAAUGUUACAUUUGUUUGUAGUAUUUGGGCCUCUCUAUUGGGCCAAUAUGCUCUCAUCAUUUCACUAUUUUGUUUGCAAAAUAUAAAUAUGUUGUGUUAUUCAUUAUUUCGUUAGAGCUAAAAGGUGUACAAAAUGGGUUUGAAAUCGGUCUGGACCGGUUUCAAAUUCCGUAUUUCUUUUUGAAAUUUUAACCAUUUUUACUACGAAAAGGUGUGCACCAUUAUAACCAGUUUAAUUUGGUUUUGAUGCACAAGAUAUUAAGGACUUAGCAAAGGUUUUAAUAAAGGAAUUUUCUAAUACUAUGUCUUAAAAGCGCAUAUAAGAAGCAUUAAGUAAAGUGUUAAUACGAGGAAUAUUAUCAUAAUUAAAUAUAAUAAAUAUUAAUAUAAAUAACAUUAUUUAUAAUUAAUGUAUUUUACAUUUAAUUAUGGUAAUAAUACACAUAAAUAAGACUAAUAAAAAUGGCAAUAAGAAUCAUGACUUUUGAUCCGUCAUGAAUUUCGAGUGGGACGAAAAGUUCUUAACGGUUACAAUUUUACCUCAAUUCAUGCUUACUUCUCAUUUUAUUUUCCUGUUUUAGUUAUACUUAAACACGAUUUCCAUGACUGCCUUCAGAUAUUGAUUAAGGCUUAUUUUUUAUAAAAUUGCAUUUUUUUUUUAAUUUUUAAAAAUUUACCAGUAACUAUCAAAUUUAGAUUCACCUAUAUAAAAGAUUCAUUAUAAAUCUUCAAGUCAUCUAGAAAUUAGUAAAAAUUCUUCUUCUAGAUUCUUUUAUAUAAACAGUUCAUUGUAAACCUAAUUUCUCAUUUUAUUUUUCUUCUCAUUAUGUUCCAAGUAUCGACUGACUUUUCUGAUUUAAUUGACAUAGUUGGUUUCCAGUGUUUAGAAUACUGUUAUAAAAUAGAUUGCUUGAUUGAUAAUGAUGAUUUAACCUUAUAUUAAUAGGUAUAUAAAAUGAGCUUUUAGCCUAACCUAAACCCUAAUAGGUAUUAACCCAGCUCUAAUAGAACUACUAAUAUUACCAAAUAUUUUGAAAAGAUAUCAUAAAUAACUAUCGGAAAAGAUAUAUCUUAAAUAACUAUUUGAAAAGAUAUAUCUGAUCAACUCAUUAAUUAACAUAACCUAUCUACUUGGACUUGCAUAUAAUUUAAAUAAUAAAUCAGACUGAAAUUGAAAGAAAUGAAAUGAGAGUGAAAUUGAAUAGAGUGAUGGAGUGGGCAGGGAGGAUUAAUGAAUGCAAAAGGUACGAGUGGAAAUUGGUAAAACGUCAGAAAUGCGAAGGUUGUGUAAUUAGUAAAAAUGGAAUCAGUAAUUCUCAGUAUGAUUUAUUUUCAUGUACUUGUUACUUCUUUAACAAGUUGUCAUAUAUCUCUCACUGUCUCAUUAAAUACUACAAUUACCGUUAUAUUUAUGGCCAUAUAAGACAAAUAGUUUUAUACAUUAAUACUGAUGGUGAUUCUUACAAUUUUGAUUAUGGGAUAAUUACAAAUAUAGGAAAAUAUUAAGUUUAUUUGCAAAAAGGAAAUUGAGUAAUAAAAUACAUAUAAAUGAAAAAAAAAGAUUUUUUUUUAAAUAACGAUUAUGUUCGGAAUAAAGCAAUUCAUAGAGUUAUGCGAAACAACAGAUUAGUAUUCUGGACAUUCAUUCCAAUUUUUUUCCGUAAAAUGUGUUUUGUGUUAUUUCUUUUCUUUUUCUUUUUGUAUAAGUUUUGUUUUUAUAAAAUCUAAAAUUAAACUGUAAUCUAAAAAUCAACAAAAAGAAAAUAAUAAUAAAUAAACGUAUAAACUUAAGGGAUUGUUUUAUAUAAUAUUACAAUGUUCAAAUGGCUUUUGUUUUUGUACCCCAAAAAAUUUUCGCCAAUCAUUUACGAUAUGAUAUAGUCCACGGACUGUUUUUACCCUGUAUAAAAUACGAUUUCCCGGUAAUCAACAUCUCCAGGAACCAAUACAGAAACACUCAAUCUUUUGGCACAUAAAACGCCUAAGAGGUGCUAUCGGCGACGUUUUGUAUCCGUCCUGCGGAAUCAAUGGUGGAGCAAAGGUCAAAGUAAAGGGGUAUCCAAAAAAAUCGUGUAAUAUAAAAAAAAAAUAAUAAAAACUGCAAUUUUAUUCGACAUAAAGUUAAACUUCCUUAACACAGUUAUGUUUUAAAGUUCACCUCUACGCUCUAUCAUUUUACGAAAACAACUACUUACAUUUUUAGUAUUAACAUUCACAAGUACUUUCUUUUCUAAUCUACAAAUCAAAACGUCAUUCAAAAAACUGUCACCUAUUCUAUUACGCAAAUCGGUCUUCAACAACUUCAUUGCAGAAAAACACCGUUCAACGGUUGCGGUUGCAACAGACAAAACUAAAGUUAGUUUUAAUAAUCUAUAAACCAAAAGAAAAGAUAGCUGCUUCCAUAGAACAAAGAGUGAUAAUAGAUAUCUGUAACAUCUGUUUCAAUUUCGUAUGUAAUUUUUUUAAUUGUUUUAAAAGAUAAUAAUAAUAAUAAUAAUAAUAAUAAUAAUAAAUAAUAUUAAUAGUAAUAAUAAAAAUAAAUAUUACUCAUUGAAUAAACAUUAUAUAUAUGUCAAGGGGGUGAACGGUAACUUUCAAAAACUAUUUUAGUUAAAAUAAAUAGAAUUUAUGUUAGAUUUAGGUUAUAUGCCAAACAUGAGGGUCAAUUUGUGUUAAAAUCCAAAAUAUGGAGCCUGUUCUUUAUUGUAGCAUCGCAGUUAUACAUUGGAUACCUUUUCUCGAUUUAGGCCAGCAGGAAUGCGAAUCUGGGAAAGCCUCUUAACCCUUAUCCUUAGUAACCUUCCCUUGUACCAUUUGAAUCGUUUCUCUCUCCUUCUUAGCUACCAAACCCGAGAGAAAAAGACUAGAAAUGAGUGAGGUUGGCUAGGGUUUUAGUGUGGAAGAAGACACUUCAAGCUCCAUCACCGCAACAUAAACAAAAUUUUCCGAAAAAAAUAUGCUACUAAUUUUUUUGUAGAGCAUCCCGGGCUCCAAGGUGGAUCCAUCCCUGUGCAAAAUCUCUUUUACAUCUGACGAUUGAAUACAUGCAGACGGGUGCUUAGAGUCGUGGUUCAACGGUUGUUCGGGUGUGCCUAACCCAUAAUCAUGCUCCCAUAAGUUAUUAUCAUUGUACUUUAUGGUACCAACAUCUUGCAUGAUAAAUGUAUGCACGGUUCAAUAUUGUUUAAGUAUAAACGAUUCAAACCAUAAGGACCAUAAAGUUAAAUAAAAAAUAUUUGUGAGUGGAAUACUUAACAAUGUACCUACACCCCCUUCGAGGUACCAACAUCAUCUUCGGGGGUCUUAUUGAUAAGUUUUAGAAGCAUGGCUAAAGUAGCGUGAUGCUCUACUAAGUGCUUAUCCUGUGACCUCAACUGCUCGCGACAUUAACUAACCUCGUUUUGCAAUUCACAAAUCUCGUUUUUCUACUCAGUAAUAAUUUGGUUCUUAUCAGUUGGUGGUACAGUGGACGACGGCAACAGCGGCGGUGACGGGUGAGAUGGAACAUCUAUAUGUGCCUUCUUUUGUUGAGGCUCUUGGAUAGGGGAGUGUUUGGGUAAUGGUGUUAGCGAAGGUGCCCUAUGAACUUCUGUGUCAAGAAAAUCAGGAUGAUCAAUUCACGUCGAGCUAACUAUCCACCAUUCAACACGACUCUCAGCUUUUGUCUGCUCCAACUUAUGUACAAGUCUAUUAUCCUGCUAACAAAUUAUAAAAUUAUAAAUAAACAUAAAUUGUACAUAUAAAAUAAAAUUAUAAAAUGUAGUAGUAACCAUACAUCAUCAAUUUUUAUAAACUGGUUGCACUCUGUUGCAUGAAAGGCCUCAAUUUCGACCAUGCAACAGCCUGAGGGAUCACAUGUGCUUGUCGGGUACCAAACAAACCGCUGACAGGAAAACUCUCAAGUAUCCAUCUCUAAAAUAAUCAUGUAUUAUAAUGUUAUCAAACAAAAGAAUUAAUCAUUUACUUUUAAAAGCGUAUGAAAAGUCAUUUAGGGUGUAGGUCAUUUUUGGUGAAACAUCCCGAAAAUCACAAGGUAAAAAUUUUAAUUUUAUUAUAAUCGAAACACUCUUGUAGCCUUUAUUCAAACAUUUAAAAGCAUUCCAAGAUAAAAUAGUUAUCAAAGUUCAUUCCCAAAAUCACGUAUAGCAGAAAACACGGGUGUAUGUGCUGCGAUCAAGGCGGGUACUUCCCUUUCGAACCGGAAGUACCUGAAAUCAUAAACCAAAAAUUAGAAGCACAAAGCUUAGUGAGUUCCCCAAAUACCACAUACCCCACAUAUCAUAUAACGGGCCCCGCCCACACUCGCACAAGGAGCCCCGCUCACACUCGAAUAACGGGCCCCACCCAAUGAGAUAAGGGCCCCGCCCACACUCGAAUAAUGGCCCCUGCCCAAUGAGAUACGGUCCCCUCCCACACUCGAAUAACGAUGAGAUACGGGCCCCGAACACUCGAAUAACCAUAUAAUUGUAACGCCUGGUUCCUGGUAUGCAUUUAAUUAUAAUUUAUUCACUUUUGUAGAGCAACUCGACGAGUUGGGAGCCCCAAACUCGUCGAGUAGAAACCAGAAUGGAUGCGGGAUUUUAAGUCACCUACUCGAUGAGUUGAGUGCCUCAACUCGAUGAGUAGGGUUGCCAGGAUGAAAUCCUAAUUUCGGGUUUUGCGCCUCCAAGUCCCAAACCCACUUUUGGCCUCAUUUCUAGCCUCCAAGCCCCAAACCCUAGAUUCAAAAACCCAAAAACCAUUGUGAGUUUGUGAGCCAUUUUUGAGUGAAACCUUGUGUCUUUUGAAGCUUGUGAAGGAAGGGGAGGCUUGAGGACUCAAGAAGGAGAUACCGGAUCCAAAAACUUCGUUUCUUCCUCAUCAUUUUCUGGUAAACAAGUCUCAAACUUGCUUAGUAGCUUCUUAGAACUCUUUAUCAUCUUUUUAUUGAGUUUUUGGUCAAAGAAGCUUAAUCUUUUGGAUAUGGACAACCCAAGUGAGUGAACCAUCAGAUCUGGAAUCAUCAAGGGCUUUCAUGGCAUAAAGGUGCAAACUUUAUGGCCAUUAAAGCCCCAUGCAAGCCAUAGGAUGUUAUUUUUGGCAUUUUAAGCUCCAAAAGGCCAUGCAUGGAGCGAAACGUGGAAACUUUAUGUGUUCAAAUGGUGUCUAAGGCCUAGAUCUCUGUUUGUAUGCUUUAGUUUGGAGUAUGGGUGACUUGUGGACCAAGAUCUAAGUCCUAUAGAGUUAGGGUUUGAGACAAACCCGCUAAAUGAGGGUAUUAAUGGGUAAAGUUGGAAACUUUACCCUUAAAAGGACGUUUUUAGUGUGAAUGAGAAGCAAGAAUCUUAGAUCUGAAGUAUAGGGGCUUAAUCCGUUAAGAUGGCCCAAAUAGACAGUGGAACUCGUCGAGUCCAUAUAGGAACUCGACGAGUUGAGUCUAUUUGUCCCGAUUCUGAACAUGGUAGAACUUGACAAUUCUGAGGAUGACUCGGCGAAUUGACUCGCCUAAUCGCAAAUAUGAGUAGCUAGGGAACACAGUGAGUCAGGGGGAUGACUCAACGAGUUGGAUCGCGAUUUCAGGGUUUUUGAUAUAUGGAACUCGACGUGUUGAUCGGUCAACUUGGCGAGUUGAAUCAACCCAAAAUGUUGAAUUUGACCAGGUGUAAAAUGGUCAUUUUAACCUAAGAAGGAUUAUUGAAUUUUGACUAAGUGUUAUUGUAAUAAUGAUAGUCGGGGAGUCGUUGGAGCAACAGUUAGAGAUUCCUCACCACGAGAUUUCACAGUCAGCUUUGCGGGGUGAGUUUUCCUCCAGUAGGAACGGGUCGAAGGCACCAAUGCUGGCAUGUUUAUGUAUGUUAGUAUAUGCCGGACUUAGGUCCGAUGUCGAGGUUAGCUCGAUGUAGGUUAUAUGUCUCUGGACUUCGGUCUGAUGCUGGGGGAAGCCCACAGAAUGUUUAUAAGCUUAUUGUCUCCGUGAUUCUUGCAUGUGAUUGUCUAUAUGUUUCGAGAUUCAGUCCGAUGUCGGGGCCAGCCCGAGGAAUGUUUAGCUUAUAUGUUAUGUUUAUGUGACAUCCCCAAAAUCUCGGCCAGAAAAGACCGAUUUUCAUUUAUGCUUUUAAAAUAUUUUCAGAGUAAAUCCUUUUGAUUUGAAAGGGUUGCGGAAUUUGUUCCCAAAAACAAAACAUGAUAAAACAUUGUUUACCGAAGCAUUUCAUAAAAGAAAUGUAUUUUUCAUUAUAAUCGAAACUCGGGGUGUCAUGUUUCGAUACAGACCAAUAAGCAUAAACGAAUACAUUACAAGUCAUAUAACAAAUAUAAACAUAUGCAGACUUGUAAACAAAACAACUUGAUGGUUCAUCCAUCUCAUGCCCUUCCGCCACUACCUGUAAUACAAUUUAAAACUGAGUGGGUCAGGCUUGGGAGCCUGGUGAGCAUAUAGGGUUUUCAACCCACAAUAAAUAUCAUAUUUAAUUUUCACCAACCAACAAUAACCCAAUUACCCAUUCCCGUUAUUCUCACUUUAAUGUCCCUAAAACAACUAACAUAAGGGACCUAGUCUAAGAAUAUUUCAUCGGGGCGACAACACAUGCUUCGGGGGUACCUCAGCAAUAUAAGUCAAAUAAGGCAACCAUGAGGGGGAUGGAGUACAGCGAAUGAACACCCAAGUUCAUUAACACCUACAGGUGGCGAACCUGCUAAUGUUUCCACAAGACUGUCUAGAAUAGCCAGUGGUCGUCAUCUAAACUCCGCUAGAUGACUCAAUCAAACAACAACGAGGCCUCUCAUCUGUUUAUUACACACCAACUGUCUACCCAUGUUCUACCCAACAUAUUAGUAGAUAAAAAUAUACAUUUGUAUACAUAGUUUAAAGAAAACCUGUAUAGCAUGCUUUAAUCAACACAUAUAUCACAUAACAGAUGAGGCACACACACACAUAACACAUAUCUCAUAAAGAAAUAAGCAGAUCUAUAAGAUAGAAGAGAGUGAAUACUCAUUCACACAUAACACAACCAAAUAUAUACACAUAGCACGUAUUUUUAUAUAAAAUACUUCGUAUUAUUGUAUUAGAAGAAAUAACUACACACUCACUUGAUCAGAAGAUGAUCGGACAGCACUACGGCUUAUAGAAGUAGUAAUCCACAGCAGAUCUGGAAGAUCUUCUCGAAAAUCGAACUUCUCGCGGGCAGAGCUUCGACUCGGGAACCGCACUUUUCGGGAUCUUCGGGAUCUCGGGACUUGCCUCGGGGCUAGAGUAUGAUACCGGGACUUCGGGGUAGCUUCGGGGGUUUUUGCACAGAGCUUCGACACGAAAACGAGAGGGAAUUGGCAAAAAUACCCGGAACCCUCGCAUCCUAUUUAUAGGAGGCUGGAGCCUCGGAGUACGCGGGGCGUACUGCGUUACGCGGGGCGUACUGCCCAAAACGUCAUUGCUUACGUAUCCGAAGUGCUCGAGUGCGAGUGUCGACAUCCCUCGGAGUACGCGGGGCGUACUCGAGUACGCGGGGCGUACCUCGGAUCAGAUCGGUGACUCCUUCGGAUAAUGCUUCCGAAUUUUGAUUUAAAUAUAAAUACAAAAUGAUUAAUAAACUUCGGAAAUUCAUAACUUCUUCAUACGAACUCCGUUUUCGACGUUCUUUAUAUCCACGCGAAGGUGAGACCACGCUCUACGACUUUCGUUUAGACUCCGUCGGCUAAUUUUGACUUUAUUUUUAUUAAUUAUUUUUAAUAGGCCGGGACAGAAACUUUCGUUAUAAAUUCAUAACUUCUUCGUUUGACGUCCGUUCUCGCCUAACUUUUUAUCGUUUCAAUACCAACAAUGAGAUCUUCGAUUCUCAUUUAGAUUGCUUCGGCUAACAACCGCUCGAUCUCAAAUCGAGUAAAACAGGCUGUAUAUCGCUAAGCCGGAACUUCGAUAAAUCAUAACUUCCUCAUACGAAGUCAGAUUUGGGCGUUCUAUAUAUAUUCGGAAACCUCGUUUCAACUACUACAACAUUAACCAAAUAUAUUAAGUUUAUUUUACACUUAAAUUUUGACGCUUAUUUUUAUUCUUAAUUAAUCAAACCACAUAAUUAAGCAAUUAAGCACAAAACACACAAUACUCAAAUAAUACAAUCUUAUUAUUUCAAAACGGGUUACAGAGGUUAACCUAGACUAUUACAUUGCUACAAAUGGCAAGCCCGAAACACAGGCGUUACAAUUCUCUCCACCUUAGAAUGAUUCCGU